AUUGAACGCUGGCGGCAUGCCUUACACAUGCAAGUCGAACGGCAGCGGACCUUCGGGUGCCGGCGAGUGGCGAACGGGUGAGUAAUAUAUCGGAACGUACCUUUCAGUGGGGGAUAACGUAGCGAAAGUUACGCUAAUACCGCAUAUUCUGUGAGCAGGAAAGCAGGGGAUCGCAAGACCUUGCGCUGAUUGAGCGGCCGAUAUCAGAUUAGCUAGUUGGUGAGGUAAAGGCUCACCAAGGCGACGAUCUGUAGCGGGUCUGAGAGGAUGAUCCGCCACACUGGAACUGAGACACGGUCCAGACUCCUACGGGAGGCAGCAGUGGGGAAUUUUGGACAAUGGGCGCAAGCCUGAUCCAGCCAUGCCGCGUGAGUGAAGAAGGCCUGGUUGUAAGUACGUCUUCGUCCGGGACGGAAAGUACGACACAGUAAGUACCUACGUGUGG
rnacentral:rRNA from 1 species